rnacentral:rRNA from 1 species
UACGAAGGGGGCUAGCGUUGCUCGGAAUCACUGGGCGUAAAGCGCACGUAGGCGGCUUUCUAAGUCAGGGGUGAAAUCCUGGAGCUCAACUCCAGAACUGCCUUUGAUACUGGAGAGCUAGAGUCCGGAAGAGGUGAGUGGAACUGCGAGUGUAGAGGUGAAAUUCGUAGAUAUUAGCAGGAACACCGGUGGCGAAGGCGGCUAUCUGGACGACAACUGACGCUGAGGCGCGAAAGCGUGGGGAUCAAACAGG